rnacentral:lncRNA from 1 species
GUUACACAUUAUUAACAAAUUAAACCAAAAGUUAAACAUGAGUUUAGGAAAAUAGAACCGAAAUAAGAGAGUGCAGAGGUUUCUUCCUCUCUGUCUUUCACGCUCACGUCUGACUGUCACUCUGCUGCCCUCGGCUUCCGUUUCUUCCUCUCUGUCGGUUUUCUGCUGCCGCAAGGCAGCUGUCUGCCUUCUGUCCUCCCUCUGACUUGCAAUCCCGCGCCCUCUCCCUCCUUUUAUUUCUUUUCCUGCUCCAUUUUCCAGUCCCCCCUCUGCUGUCUCUCACGCUGCCCCCCAAAGGCAGCUUCCUGUCAGUUCUCUUUUUAUUUCCUCCAGCCCCCUGUCAGUCUCCCCUACUCGUUCCCUUUAUUAUUCUUCCUAUUCUGCUGUCCGUGUCAGCCUCUCAAUCCCGUCCCAUUUGUAGCAUUUUCUAUUAUUUUCUUUUCAGCCAGCACAAUCCACUUCUUUCUUUUUAUUCUUCUUUUCCUUUUCUUAUUACUUCCACUCUUCUUUGUCUACUGUUUUUCUUUUCUUUCUGUCUCAGUGCUCUCUCUCUUCUGCCUGUUUUAUUUAUGUUCUUUUCUUUCCGCCAGUCUCCCACUCCUCUCUGUCAGUGUUUCCACUUUUCUUCCUUUUAAUUGAAAUUGAUCAUAAAACACAUUUAACUGCACAAUAACACAAGGUAAGGUAAAAUGCCACAAUUUUAACACAAAAACAUCACAAAGACUUUAGAAAUAAAUGGUAUAAAUGCAUGAAAUAUAUGAGUGAUCAAAUACCCCCAAACUUACAUUUUUGCUAGUCCUCGAGCAAAACGAAGAAAACAAGAACAAGAAGUAACAAGAAAAACAUUAGCUUCCCUCUAUGUGACCUUCAUAGAAUUUCAUUUAAGAAAACAAAUCAUCAAGAACCAUAGCUAGCAUCAAGGAACUAAUCCAAGUUCAUCUUCCUAAUUCAAAUAUUAGCAAUAAUCUUUGAAUCAUCCUUGAAGUGUAGUGUGUGAGAUAGCCAUGCUAAUGCAAUUUCAAGUUUUUUAUUUUUAAAAUCAUCAUAUGCAAAUUAGCGACCAUCUCACGGGAUAUGCACUCAAUCACAACAUGUGUUUAGUUUUAAUGUGUUUCGCUCAAAGAAUCAAAUGUGAAAUUUCUACCAUAAGCUUGCAUAAAGAUCACUUCUCCACAGUCAUAAUUGCAAAACUUAAAUCAAGAGGACUUUUAUUGGAUGUAAUGAGGUUUAGGGAUAGGGUUAUUGAAACGAUAGAAUAGGAAAACACAAGUUCCAAGCUACAUUGCAAGCAAUUCUUUUCUUUAGAUUUAUAAGAACUCAAGCUCUCCAGCAAUUCUUCUAGCACCUCCAACCACACCCUAAAACUGAAACUUUAAAAACUUUUUAUUUCAUUUGUAUACAAUCUUUCUUUUUCUUUUCUCUUUUUUUUUUUAUUUUUUUAUUUUUUUUUUAUUUUUUAUUUUUUUUAUUUUUUAAUUUAUACAAACAUGAAAUACCCCCACACUUAUUCUUUUGCCAAACACCUUCAGAGUACUUCACAAACGUUUCUCAUAAGACAAUCUCGCAUUGCUCGCUUGGAAAGGGUAAGGAAAAAAUUUCAGGUAUAAGGGUAGACAUAUCUUGGUGAUAAGAAAUAAAAAGGCUCAACAUACACGGCUCAAAUUGGCAAUCUAUAUGAUAUCAUUUUCUUUGGGAAACAUGGUUAUUUGGGUCAUAGUGGUAAACCUAAUGCCUCUAUCAUUUCCAAGUUCAUGCAGUCAAUGACAACAUUUCGAAAGAUCGUUACGCAAGUUCUAGAGAUGUAUCUCACAUAAGUUCAUCACACAUAAAAAAAUAGGAGUGUAUGAAAAAUGCACACACUUUCAAUAGGCUCAAAAACUCACAUAGGAUGUAUAUGGUCACUAAAUUCACAUAUGAAGCUUUAAGUCAUGCUUUAGUUUCACAUCAACAAGGCUAUGUGCAUUUGGUUUUUCAAAGAUGAUCAAACAUGUACAAAACUAACAAGAGAAUUAGGAAUUUCACAAAACACAUGUUAACUAAGUUCUUUGAUGAUCAUGGUUCAAAAUUUGAUCCAAUUAUAUCAUUGGGUCGGGAAACUAACAAAAAUCUAAUUCAAAACAAUAAGGGAAACCAGACAAUAUUUUUGGAUUUUUAAAUUUUCUGAUUUUUUUUUUAAUUUUUUUUUUAUAUAUAUAUAUAUAUUUUUUUUAUUAUUAUUUAAAAGAAAACAAAACUAAUUAAGAAAACAAAAAGCAACAACAUGGAAACAAAUGAAACUCGUUCGUAGUUGAAGGUACAAAAAAAAUUUCAAUUUGGUCAUUUUUUAUACUCUUUACCCCCAAACUUAAACUGGACAUUGUCCCCAAUGUCAGAAACACUAUAAUGCAAUUAAAAAUAAAAUAAAUAAAUAAUAAGAAACAAAAUAAAGCAAUUGGACUGAAAACUUCCCUAGUUUGCAGUAAAACCAAGCGAUGACCCCCCAAGCUAAAAUUCUGCAAUCAACUUCAAGGGUGGAAAGAACCAAAAGUUCCUGCAAAGAAAAGAAAUAAUUCAGUUAAGUAACGCAAGAAAAUGUAAAAUUGAAAAUCACGAUAAAAGACAAUGAAUAGAACUAAUAAGUGAUCAUUGGUCGUGCUUGUUGACUUUCCACAGCUUUCCUCUUGAACGGGGUGACACUUAGCUUUUUACUUGCAAGUGAUGAUUUGAUGAUAUUGUACGGCGAAGCUUUGCUCUUUGGUGAUGUUGUUGAAGCUUCUUGAGUUCUUCAACUCAGAUUCCUUCUGCUCUCGAGUUGAUUGUGCAGGCUCAAUUCCUUUUUUGUUCUCCAAGCAGAUGUGGCAGCUUCUCUAGUUCUUCAUCUCAGACUCCUUCUGCUUGGAUGAUUGUGCAAGCUGCAUUCUUCUCUGCUUGUUUCUUCUGCACGACGGGCAGGCACGAGGGAAAGGUGUUGGUCUGUUUCUUUCUUCAAUCUUUCCAAGUGCCCACCUCUUGCUCUCUUUCUCCUUGUCCUUAGUUGAGGAUGAAUCAGCACGUUGUCUCCACAUGCUUCGAGGUAUCAUCUUCACUUCCCUUAGACGUGAGAGACGAAGCGAAGGCAUAAGAUGAUGAGUACUCGAGAGCAGGUGCUGACUGGAGAAAGGACAGGGAGAAAGCAUGAUAUGAGAUACUCGUGCUCUCAACCUUUAUGAUAUGAAAUACUUGUGCUCUGGAUGGGUUGUUUGCAGGGGUAUCCCAGGGGAUGAAAAAUACAGAGUGACUCGAGAGGGUUCUUUGGGAAUGCAUUCUCGGAGAUGAAGAAGUGCUGAGAGGGUGUGCCUUUGCUGUGGGAAGGCGAAGGUAGACACUUAUAGGACUUUUCUUCACAACCGGAAAUAUUCCCUCACUCAUUGUCGGCAGCCGGUGGGAUGGAUGAAUAGUACAAAUUACGCGCUUUCUGACAAAGCUGCCCGUAAUUUCCGCAAAACUGCCAGUUGCAUGUGACGAGUGAUGACACGUCUGGACAAAUUGAUCUUUUGAAAUCUGGGGUUCGGCUCGUGGUUUCUGAGCAAGCCCAAAUUUUAAGAAAUGAAACGCCUCUUUUGAGAAAAGAAUCCGACUUUUGAGAAAGGAGCCCCGACUCUUCGAUUUGCGAGAGGACGCUUCUCUGAGGAGCGCCUCUUUGAUUUCUUUUUUAUAGAGGCGUUAAUUUUGUUCCACAACACACUUGAGCUCUCUCCUGUAAACACUCCCUUCUUGCACUUCCAAAAUCUUAAUCAGUCCGACUCUCUUCUUUCUUCACCACCUCUGAAAAAUGUCUGGCCCUUCCGAUCGUCGUUUUGACUUGAACAUUGGUGAAGAGGCAGCUCCGCCUUCACCAGACAACAUAUGGCGCCCAUCCUUCAUAUCCCCUACUGGUCCUCUUACCGUUGGGAUUCGGUGAUGAAAAAAUGACAUGACCGCUGCGGUGGUGGCCCGGAACCUUGUCACCCCCAGAGAUAACAGACUGCUCGCUAGACGGUCUGAUGAAUUGGCGGUUAAGGAGUCUCUGGCUCUUAGCGUGCAGUGUGCUGGUUCUGUGUCCAACAUGGCCCAACGCCUAUUUGCUCGAACCCGUCACGUUGAAUCGUUGGUGGCUGAAAUACAGAGUCUCAAAGAGGAGAUUAGAGGACUCAAGCAUGAAAAUAAACAAUUGCACAAGCUUGCACACAAUUAUGCCACAAACAUGAAGAGGAAAAUUGACCAGCUGCAGGAAAAUGAUAGUCAGAUUUUACUUGAUCACCGGAGGUUUGUGGGUUUGUUCCAACCGCAUCUGCCUUCGUCUUCUGGGGCGGCACCGCGUAGUGAAGCUCCAACUGAUCAACCUCUGUUGCCUCCUCCUUCUGUGGCCCCGCCGACUGCUGAAGCUCCGCCGACUACUGAAGCACCACCUGACCAAUGAAUGCUAUUAGUUUACACAUCAUUGUAAAAUAUUUUUUACUUUUAUGUUUUUUUUUUUUUUUUUUUUUUUUUUUUAAAUCAAUGUAAAAUAUGUAAAUCAAUGUAAAAAGACUUUGUUUAACCUUCCCCCACACUUAAACUAAAUAACACAAACUCACAGAAAUCAACCAAAUAACACAACUAACUGAACAAAACAAAAUGAAAGCAGUAAAGAUAAGGGUGUAAGAAUGCAAAUCUGAUUUGGUUAGCGAUUCCAAAGUCUCCCUUCGUUGAAUGCUUGGGUUGCCUCCCAAGAAGCGCUUGAUUUAACGUCUUUAGCCGGACGAAUCUUUCCUUUAAACUCCACUCUGCUCCAAAGCAUGGAAUUUAUCUUUUAAUGGGAGGUGAUACUUGAAAUGAUUCGGCAAUGGUUUAAAUUCAAGAGUGGGUGCCUGAAUCAUUAAAAUCAGAAACAUGUUAGUAUAAAUUAAAAUUGAAAUUGGAGAAGAUGGCUUACUUUCUUUUUCCGACACAAACUCAAUGACAAACACCACAUCUUUGAACAUUUCCGGGACUUUGAACUUGGCCAGGUUUACUAUGAUGGUUGUGGCUUGUCCCGUGUCAUCAAACUCAACUGCUUUGUGCUUGAUUGUCUCAUGCACAACCUCUUGGAUGUAUUCUUGAUAUGCUUCAACCACUUCAUUCUCUUGAAUCCCUUUUCUUGGUGUGCAAGGUUCUUUGAACGUUUCAAUACCAUCGGGAACUUGUUUUGGUGCACCAAGAAUUGGGAUAUCACUUUGCACCUUUGGAAGAGCUUCCACAAUGUCUUUUUCACUCUCUUUGAUAUUUGGAAUAAAAAACCUGCAAGGACAAAAGACAUUCGGUGGAAUAAUGUUAGAAUGAAGUGAAUUUAGAACUUCCUCACCUGAGUUGGAUGACAUAGGGAUUUGAGGAGCUUGCAGCAAAAAUUCUUCUAAACUGCCCAGGUCGUCCUCCUCCUCUUCUGCUUGCAGCAGCAAUUCAUCCAUGUUCGGGCUGUGUUUGGAUAGUUCUGGGACAGCUUCAUCCUUCAUGUCACCUUCCAAAGUGAUAGCAUCGUGGAUUUCAAAAUCUUCCUUCGAAUUUUCAACACUUGAGCUAGAGAGUUCACUUUGCUCUUGAAUUUGUACCAUGAAUUCCAUAAUCUCUCCCAUUUGACUCAUCAAUUUAUCCAACUUCUUGUCUUGAUUUUGUUGGUCCUGCGUCAAAGAGGUUAGUACUUGAAGAAUUUGAUCACUAUCCAUGGACACCCUUGAAGUUGAUUGGAAUUGUUGUGGGGUAUGCGGUGGUGGCUGCAUAGGCGUUAAAUAAAACUCCUCAGAUUGCUGCCAAUAUCCAUCUUGUUGAGCCUCCUUGGCUUGAUUUUAUGAGCCCUGCACCAAAGAAUUUAAUUCAUCAAAAAUUUGAUUGUAAUCUAUUGACGAAUCUGAGUUUGAUUGGGCAUAUUGUAUAUGAGGUUGUGAAUAGAACUCCUCCUCUUGCUGCCAAUAUCCAUUUUGUUGGAAUUGUUGAGGUUCCUCCCACAUAUAAUUUGAAUGAUCUCUCCAAGCCGAAUUGUAAGCGUUGGAAAACAUGUUGUUGCUUGGUUGAUCAUAGCCUUGAUAACCCCAAGCAUCUUCGUUCACAGUGAAUUGAGGAUGUUGAUAUCCUUGCCCAUAGGGCACAUCAAAUGUAGGGACACUUGGCAUUGUGGUCCGUUCGGCAUUAUGAGUCAAUUGAGCAGUGAGCUGUGCCAAUUGAGCUUGAAUGGUCGCAAGUGCCAUGUCUUGCUCCAUUUGUACCUAAAAUCAAAGAAAGAAAAAUAAAUCAAAUAUCAAAAGUAAAAUACACAAACACCAAUAUAAACAUAAACAAAAACAAAAAUAAAAAUAAAGGGAUUAGCAAAGUUGCUAAUCCCCGGCAACGGCGCCAAAAUUUGAUGUGAGAAUUACUUGACACACAAAUUAAACCCUCUUUUUGACAAUUGUAGUAUAGAUGUAAGUAGGGUAUCGUUCUAGGCCGGGGAUUAGGAGGGAUUGCUAAUCUAUUCUAAAUUAAUUUAAAAAAUAUUAAACAAGACUCAAGGACACAAAACUAGGCUAAAAACUCUAAUAACUCGAAACACACUUAGAAUGACUCAAAAUAAUGAAAACAAUCAAAUUAGACACUAGGAACUGAAAUGGACGGAAAUUGAAUUAAAAGACUAACAACAAUGAAAACUAACUAAAUAAUAUAAUUUAAUAAUGGGGGGGGGUUUGGUUUUGACGAGAAGUAAAUUAAACUUAAAUAAAUUACAGAAUUGACAAAAGCAUGAAAUUAAGGUGAAAGGAUAGAUGACGGACUAGCUAGAGGGUUUUUCUCCACACAUGACACAUAUGCAGCCUAAAUUGAUUUUCAGUUGUUCUUUCAAUAAAUUGUGAAUGACAAUGUUCCAAGUUAAUUAGGUCUGCUUAAAUUAACUCUUAGAUUUCCCUAGAUUCAUUGGAUUGAAUGGAAUACGCAUUACAACCAAAUUAUUCCUCAUCAAAGUCCCUAACUAUGGAAUACGCAUGAUAGAGACAUUCAACAAAGAUCAUUAAGUUCAACGGAAAUCAUAAACAUUGACUAGGCAUUCAUAACUAUGGAAUACGCAUGUUAAUCCAGCCUAGAAUUCACUUAACACGAUUGUGGAUAACAACCUUCACUACUUGUGAAUAUAAGUUCAUAAAGAUUAGGUGAAAUUCACUUAUAUUCUAGCAUCAAAUUCAUGCAUGUAAAUUAAGUAUGCAUUCUUAAUCGACAUACAAAAAUAAGUUAUCAAUCAAGCAGUUAAGCAAAUUAAAUCACAACUCAGAAAUCACAACUGAAGGUAAUCAAUUCAUAUUACAAAUAUAUCCAUGGCUUUGAAUUAACCUCUAGCCAAAAUAAAUUUAGUUACACAUUAUUAACAAAUUAAACCAAAAGUUAAACAUGAGUUUAGGAAAAUAGAACCGAAAUAAGAGAGUGCAGAGGUUUCUUCCUCUCUGUCUUUCACGCUCACGUCUGACUGUCACUCUGCUGCCCUCGGCUUCCGUUUCUUCCUCUCUGUCGGUUUUCUGCUGCCGCAAGGCAGCUGUCUGCCUUCUGUCCUCCCUCU